CCAGACUCCUACGGGAGGCAGCAGUGGGGAAUAUUGCACAAUGGGGGAAACCCUGAUGCAGCGACGCCGCGUGAGUGAAGAAGUAUUUCGGUAUGUAAAGCUCUAUCAGCAGGGAAGAAAUAGCGACCUUUGGGUCGCCAGACGGUACCUAAUUAAGAAGCCCCGGCUAACUACGUGCCAGCAGCCGCGGUAAUACGUAGGGGGCAAGCGUUAUCCGGAUUUACUGGGUGUAAAGGGAGCGUAGACGGCUGUGCAAGCCAGAUGUGAAAGCCCGGGGCUCAACCCCGGGACUGCAUUUGGAACUGUGUGGCUGGAGUGUCGGAGAGGCAGGCGGAAUUCCUAGUGUAGUGGUGAAAUGCGUAGAUAUUAGGAGGAACACCAGUGGCGAAGGCGGCUUACUGGACGGUAACUGACGCUGAGGCUCGAAAGCGUGGGAAGCGAACAGGAUUAGAUACCCCAGUA
rnacentral:rRNA from 1 species